AGAGUUUGAUCAUGGCUCAGAUUGAACGCUGGCGGCAUGCCUAACACAUGCAAGUCGAACGGGCUGUAGCAAUACAGCUAGUGGCGGACGGGUGAGGAAUACAUAGGAAUUUGCCUUUAGGUGGGGGAUAGCCCGGGGAAACUCGGAGUAAUACCGCAUGAUGUCGCAAGACCAAAGUCGGGGAUCGCAAGACCUGGCGCCUUUAGAGAAGCCUAUGUCUGAUUAGCUAGUUGGUAGGGUAACGGCCUACCAAGGCGACGAUCAGUAACUGGUCUGAGAGGACGAUCAGUCACACCGGAACUGAGACACGGUCCGGACUCCUACGGGAGGCAGCAGUGGGGAAUAUUGGACAAUGGGCGCAAGCCUGAUCCAGCAAUGCCGCGUGUGUGAAGAAGGCCUUCGGGUUGUAAAGCACUUUGAUCUGGGAAGAAAAAGCUUUGGCUAAUAUCCAAAGCCUUGACGGUACCAGAGGAACAAGCACCGGCUAACUCUGUGCCAGCAGCCGCGGUAAUACAGAGGGUGCAAGCGUUAAUCGGAUUUACUGGGCGUAAAGCGUGUGUAGGCGGUUUGCUAAGUCGGAUGUGAAAGCCCUGGGCUCAACCUGGGAAUUGCAUUCGAUACUGGCAAGCUAGAGUACGGUAGAGGGCGGCGGAAUUCCGGGUGUAGCGGUGAAAUGCGUAGAUAUCCGGAGGAACACCGA
rnacentral:rRNA from 1 species